rnacentral:rRNA from 1 species
UACGGGGGGAGCAAGCGUUGUUCGGAUUUACUGGGCGUAAAGGGCGCGUAGGCGGUCAGCACAAGUCAGUUGUGAAAUCUCCGGGCUUAACUCGGAAAGGUCAACUGAUACUGUGCGACUAGAGUGCAGAAGGGGCAACUGGAAUUCUCGGUGUAGCGGUGAAAUGCGUAGAUAUCGAGAGGAACACCUGCGGCGAAGGCGGGUUGCUGGGCUGACACUGACGCUGAGACGCGAAAGCGUGGGGAGCAAACAGG